AUUGAACGCUGGCGGCAGGCUUAACACAUGCAAGUCGAACGAGUGGCGGACGGGUGAGUAAUGCUUGGGAAUCUAGCUUAUGGAGGGGGAUAACUACGGGAAACUGUAGCUAAUACCGCGUACCAUAGGAUGAGCCCAAGUGGGAUUAGGUAGUUGGUGAGGUAAAGGCUCACCAAGCCGACGAUCUCUAGCUGGUCUGAGAGGAUGACCAGCCAAACUGGGACUGAGACACGGCCCAGACUCCGACUACGAUCACCAGUAUACAAUAUUGCGCAAUGGGGGCAACCUGACUCAGCCAUGCCGCGUGAAUGAAGAAGGCCUUCGGGUUGUAAAGUUCUUUCGGUAGCGAGGCGUUAACUACAGAAGAAGCACCGGCUAACUCCGUGCCAGCAGCCGCGGUAAUUC
rnacentral:rRNA from 1 species